CCAACCUUUAGCGGGCCUUGGGCUUGUCCAUGGUCUCGCAAAACUUUUGUAUUUAAAACCCGCUCAUGUAAAUAAAUCAUUUUGUAUUAUCAUAUAAAUAAAGA
rnacentral:misc_RNA from 1 species